CAAUGAUAGUGUUAUUUCUAGAGCGACGCAGCGGGGCGCCCCGCCCCGCCCUUUUUAACUGCCGCCACGCUGCCCUAAAAUCGGUCCUAUGUUCCGCCCCUUUACUGCCCUUUUCAACUGCCGUCAAAGUGCCCUAAAAUCGGUCCUAUGCUCCGCCCCGUUACUUCGCAUUAGCCUCAAAUUUGCAUAAUCACCUAAGCGCGUGUCGUAUCGAUUCAGCAGCCUGUUGUAUACAUAGGCGAUAAUUACGUCACGGAGCGUGAACACACUACAGGUCACAUGUUGUGUAAUGAUUAAAUUAUGUCAGCGUUAUAAUGAUGUACGGAGAUUUGAUUGAAAGUUGUAAUUGGGAUCAAGGAUUACGACUAAUUGUAUAAAUUAAUACAAAUAAAAGGACUUUGAUCGGUGAUAAAUACGCAAAAUUAAACAUUGAUUAGAAUCAAAAUAUUGCCGUGUUUGUAACGCUAUUAAAGAGACAAUGGAUUAGGGUGCUGAAAACAAAAAGUGAUGAGACAACUCAGGCUACCGAGGCUGUAUUCGAUCCAGCUCCUGUGCGUCGGGUGCCAGCCACCAGUAUCAACAACUUCAACACCAAAACAACGGAAAACGCUGAAAGCUAAACACAAGAUUGGCUUUGAAUCUGCAUGGACAUUGACUACACCUUGGUUAUACAACAAACACGAAUCUGAAUACUUUUCACAGAAAUAUUGAAGACAAAAUUGAUACAGCUAAUUUCAUCACAAUUAGAAUUGCUAGAUUACAUUAUAUGAAUGCUAAUUUUGCAAAAGAUAUGAAAUUAUUCAACUGAUUAAAGAAAUGAACUGUA
rnacentral:lncRNA from 1 species